UCAUUUUGUGGGUUUUGUGAGAGGGAAGUAAAUGACCCUUUGUAGGUUUCCUAAUUGAUGAAUUUUGGAAUUUCAUUUUUUUUCGUAUUUUUUCUCUCCCUCUUUUUAAGCAAGAUUCAAUGAUUUCCUCAAAUUAGUAAGUUAUGUAUUCAGCACUCAGUCUGGAGGUCGAGGUGGUGGACGGAGGAAAGAAUCAGGUAGAUCCCAUGCCCUGCAUGCUCGUUUCGAAGCAGGCUGUUCCUCUGUUUUAGAGAAAGCAGGCAGCCUUUCUCUGAUACAAUUGUAGAUUUGUGCAAGAUUACUCCACGAUUAUGACAUACCUGCAACAUGUGUAAAUCCCAUGUGACAAAUUAACAUGCUGAGGUAAGGCCAUCACCAAAAUUGAACGACAGUAAUAAUCACAUAUAGAAAUAACAGAGGGAAAAUUGAAGGAAGGAGAGAGAAACACUAUCAAUACCUGAACCACCUCGACAAUCGUCCUGGUGACCAUUGCAGCAGCUUGUUCGCUGUAAUGCCCUCUUGCAAUGAUCCUAUCGAACAAUUCUCCGCCCUCACAGAGCUCCAUUACAAGAUACACAGCCUCUCUGUCCCAUAAACCUCCUUGUACCUAACAAUAUUCGGAUGAGGCGGCAAAUGCCUCAUGAUCUCCACCUCCCUCCUCACAUCCUCCACCGCAAUAUCACUCUCCAGCUUGCCCUUCGAUAUCUUCUUGCAUGCUAGGGUUUCGCCUGUCUCCAUGUCCAAACACUGGUUGGUCACCCCGAAUUCCCCCCUCCCCAAUUCCUUCCCGAAUUUGUACCUCUUGAAAAUGUCAUUCUCUGAUGGAUCUUUCAAGAUUGUGAUCAGUCUGGAAAACUGUGGGGUGAUCGGACCCAAGAAUUAGAGCUUUGUCUUUGAGUGAGCAUUUUUUAGGUGCAUGUUAUCUCCCAAAUGCAUCUUCCUCUAAUAAGGGUCUGAAAUUAUUGAAGUUUUUUUUACCAUCAAAGGCAGUCCUCACUUCUAUCUUCUUUGGGAGAAGGGGUCAAGGAUGCUGGGGAGCUAAUUGAUGUAAAUUGCUGAUAUGGGGUUCUUGAAUUAUGGGAUUUUUUGAGGUAAUUUGAUGAUACACAUGAAUCUAGGUUUCAAUUUACUUUUUUGGUGUUGAAUCUAGGUACACCACAUCCAAACUCGAGCUUAGAGGAAGUGUAGGAUGUCGAGCUGAAGGAAAAGACAAUCAAUCUGCGGAUUGUGAGUAAAGACUCCAUCUAUACAUACUUAGAAGCCUAUUAGUUGGGAUGAUCCACACCAGCUAGGAACAUAAAGCUUUUUUCAGGGCAUUUUAUCUCCCAAAUGCAUCUUCCUCUAAUAAGGUAUUCUCUAGCCCAUUGUGCCCGUGAACUUUGUGUAUUGUUUGAGAUGAGAUGCCAUAAAUUCUUUAGGACAGCUGCUUUGUUGAGUAGUUCAAUAUUUGGGAUUUUGAGACCCCCAUUUGCCAUGUAGGUUUGACUUUUGAGCCUGCCAAUAAAAAAAUUCUUGCACAAACGGUUAAUAUCAGUUAAUACUGAUUUAGGAAGCACAAACAUGGAGUUAAUGAGUAGCAGUAUUCCCACAUAGGUCAGAAAUUUGCUUGUCCAGUGAUCUAUUCUCUUAGUGAUCUUGUCAGCCAGCACCUUGCAAUCCACUGCUUUGAGUCUUGUUGUAAUUAAUGGAACCCCAAGUGCCUCAUAAGCCGACUCACACUGUUAAACCUCAGCAAGUUAGAACUAGGAAGAUCGACAGUCAUCCUCAGUUGCUUCCACCGAAACAAAGGCCGUGUUCCUCAUUACCCAACAAUACAUCCUUUGAUAGUUUGAUGCAACUACUGCAAUGUCCGAUAUUCAGCCACUGCCAGCACAUGAUGAUGAUGAUGAGAUUGCAGGAUUGUUUGAUCUGCCUACAUCACAAUGAACUCUUGUGAUACAAUAGAAUACCUGCAGCAGAUAGAGUUAUUUUUUGAGAACUUUGAUUUCGAAACUGAAUUAUUUGAGAAGAACAUUGAUUCAGAAUUGGAGGCACGCGUCAAUGCUUUAUCUGAAAGUCUUCUGUCGGAUGAGCCAUUACUUUCAGUUGAAAACAUAUAGCUAUUUUAAGAUGAGCUUGUAUGGUUGCUAGUUCUUUCUUUUGAUUUUUUAAUUUCACUGUUCAUAGUUGUAAUCUGGAGACUUAAUCCAAUGUAGUUAUAUGUAGCGUGGCAGUGUUGUCCUUAUUUGCUAUUGUUGUCGCUCUGCAUAUGCAUCUAGUGAUCAAUAUCUUCAGCUUUUGCUUUUGUUCUACCUAGACCACUAUUUCUGCUAUAGUUGUUGCGACCAAAUUCUGUGCCUUCCAUUGCUGCUCUGAGUUGAAGAAACGGAUCCUCUACUUUCUGUGUUUUGGUUUCGAGGUUAUUGCAACUUUCGGGUUAUGUAAGCAUAUUUAAUCACAUCAUUCCAUAAUGUGGUUAGUUUAUUGAUGUUGUUUUUCCAGUUGGAGGAAUCCAGAACAAUUAAGAGAAUAUACACACUAAUUAAUAUAUAAGACAGGAGGUAAAACAUGCAUGUAUCUAGUUAAGAUAGUUAUCUUAGAUAAAAAUUAAAAUAAAAUAGUAAAAAAAAAAAAACUAUGUUUCUACUUUUAUAGUUUUCACUGCUGCAUCUUUUCCCUCUUCUUGCUUAUCAGUAACAGUAGCUUCAACAUGUGGUUAAAAAAAUAUUCACUUCUUCUGUAUGCUUGGUCCUGAAUGCUACAUAUAUGCACUGAAAAAUGAAUACAAGGAUUUGAUUACAUUGAAAUCUGACAUGCAUUUAGUACAAUUGACAAUUCCACAACUAAUAAAUGUGAGGGAGUGGAAUCUCCCAAAUAGUGCUGGCAUGAGACAUUUAUGAGAUGGUUGAGAGACUCCUGAAUAUUGCAGCAUCCAUAUUAAUUUAUUUUGAAUUUUCUAGUGUCCACAUUAGGCCAUCAUUAAGGAAGAGAGACAAGGACACGCUGUAUCAGAGUUCAAAUAUCUUAUGAUAGGAGCUCAUCAAAUUGUCUGGCUCUUGCUUAUGCGUUCAGGGAUGGUCGACAUUCCAGAGCUGCAGACUGGGUGGCAUAUCUUUUUGAAGACUAAUGGACAGAAUAUCCUUAAAGAUCUUCUGCCUUUCAUACAGUUGGCCAAGACAUUGGGAUCAAAAUGAAGGUUGCAUUGAUUUCUGUCCUCCCAGAGAUGCGAAAAUACAUGAAGAAGAUUCUGAAGGUCUUGUUUUCAGUAAUUUGCUGUGUCAGGGUGAUCAUAUUGCGUAAAGUCUUCCUUCUGUGUCCACAAGCUUGGGCUUAUCGACGUGACAUGAUGUACCAGACACGUGCUAAAAGGCGAUUAACCUAUACUAUCCUCGUCUACACAGGUUGCUAGGAGGGAAGAUUGGAGACAAAAACUAACAUUUGGCAUUAUUUUUGAAGUGACUGAUCAAACUGACGUUUUCACACGCUCGUCAGCUCAAGUUUUUACCAUUGUACCAAGUAAAGACUCCUACCAGAGAGCUUUGGUUCUCAACUCCUGUCUCAACAUUGGUGGUUAGGUCACUGGUAUCUCAACAAAAAGGCUUCACCACAUCCAUGCUUUUCGGUGUUAAUUAGGUUGAAAGUCCAUCUAGCCUGCAUCUCCUCCUGUUGUUUCAAUGCCGUUUCAAUUGGCAAUGACAAGUCUUUUUGCAACCAUCUGGUAAGGACACAUCUACUAAGUGACAUCUCAAUGAUUUGCUUUCGAUUUAGGUUUGUCUGGCAGAAAAUGAUUUUUUAAGUCCUAGCAGCAGCCAAUUUGAUUUAUCUAAAUUGGGAUGUCCAGAUAAUGCAUUCUUUAGACCUCUAAUUCAGAAUCAGUCGCCGUUAUUUCAUUGCUGCUUCUCUGAGGAUGUCUUGUGAAGAUCUCGGAUUUUGUUUUGGUGCAAAAUGAUUGUAGCUAAUGCUAUUUUCCGAACAUUUAACCCAAGAAAACAUAUUUUUAAAAAUGGUCUUUUUAAAUUAUGGACUUCUGUUAGAAAUCUCUCUCGUUUCGUUCGGUAAGAAGCUUUCAUUUCUUUUCUUCCCCAUGUGUUUAAUUUUAGGUGAAUUAUUUCUUUUCUUAUUUUCUGUUUUCCCAACUCAUACCUAUUGGAGAAAUUAAACGUUUUGAAGUAUAGUCGUAAAAAGUUUGGGCUUCCCAGUGUGAGAAUCUGGUUUCAGAAACUAGGCCAUUCAUUUUAUAUUGCCUGUUGUGUGCCUUUUGGGCUUGUCAUUUUUAAUGUGCCGCUAUUUUUGGGCCUUUCCACAGAGUUUCUGUUAGGUCGAUACAUAUUCACUCAUCUAUACAUUUGGUUGAAUUUCCAGGAAAAAAAAAAAAAAAAAAAACAACAACAACAA